CUCAUUUAUAUGCUGAGAGGAGAGUCAACAUGCUUAAGAGUUUGAUGACAGCUGUUUACGUUUAAAAUUGUUAUUGAUGUUUUAUGCAGCUCAGCAUCUCUCACAGGCGAAUCAGACGAGCAAAAUGUCAGUUAUGGAGAGGAGAAGAGCCGCUUACCAAUUGAAUAAAGAAAUAAAAUAUCGCUUAGGAAGAGAUGUCAGCUUCAGACAUGGACAUUUACACCAUAACGUACAAUAGAAGCAAAUUUGAGUAAAGCGGAUGUAUAACCAUAUCUCGCACCAACUACUCUUUUAGAGUUCACGAGGGUUUUCGAGAGCGCGGGUUAUAUGUAUUGAAACGAAAUUUUUAUAGUCGUAUGUAUACAAUAUAUAUACAAUAUAAAUAUUAUUGCGAUAGAAAAAUCAACAUAUUCAUAACAUUGUGCUGCUUGCUUAAAAAAUGCUGAAAGAUGACACAACAAAAAAGGCAAAAAAGAUCUGUGCAAUUAACCCCAUUGGAAUCUUCCUUCAUGCAGUUUACAUUGAUUUCACGAAACAGUUGCGUUUAUGACACACAUUUUCAUGGAGAAGAAGACACAUUUUGAUCGCAUACGGAUGUUUUUACAUGAUAUAGAUAUAGGUACUUAGAUGACUUAUACGUCAGCACCUUAUCAGUUCGCAUGAAGUAAACAACUUAAAUGCAAAAGCAAUUGUGUUUUUAUUAUUAAAAUAUGGUAUAAGUAAAUAAUAAGUUUAUAAAA